UGCGGGCGCGGGGAGAGCGAGGUGGAGGAGGAGAAGGACGGCAGCGACAGCGAGCUCCGCGCGCUGAACGUGGUCGCGGUGGUGAAGGAGGACGUGGAGGCGGAGGCGGUGGAGGUGAAGGACAGGUCCAGCGCGCCGGCGCCGCCGUCCGCGAGCGCGGGAGGGAAGUGCGGGGAGAGGCCGGCGUCGGAGGAGAGCGGGGAGAAGGACGCGGGGUCGUGGACGUGGUGGUGGGCGACGUCCCCCAUUGGCGGCGGCGCUAGUUCCAUGUGCAUGCAGUUGCAGAGUGAGACAGGCGGGGAGGAGAGGAA
rnacentral:misc_RNA from 1 species